rnacentral:rRNA from 1 species
UACAGAGGCCUCGAGCGUUAGGCGGAAUCACUGGGCUUAAAGCGUGUGUAGGCGGACUUCUAAGUCCCUUGUGAAAUCCCACGGCUCACCCGUGGAACUGCUGGGCAUACUGGGAGUCUUGAGCCACCUAGGGGCGAGCGGAACAAAUGGUGGAGCGGUGAAAUGCGUAGAUAUCAUUUGGAACGCCAACGGAGAAAUCAGCUCGCUGGGGGUGUGCUGACGCUGAGACACGAAAGCCAGGGGAGCGAACGGG